CUCGCCCUUGCUGAAUUUACUACGCUCCAAAAGGGUGAAUUAAAUUUCAUUUCAAUUUGGGGUUCUUCAAAAGACGUGCUCAUCUUAUUUCUGAAAUUGGAGAAGCGGAACGGAACGAUGCAAUCGGGACAUCAACAUGGCAAAGUUGCUAUUUUCAUCUCACUUUUAUGCGGCCAUUUUGAUUACGUGGAUGUUUGAAGUGAAUCUUACUCGGUGGGCAUCUAAUUCAUCUCUGUGGAGGUUCGAAUGUAGGUGUUAACAACUCAAUGAAUCGUCCACCUGGGGAAAGUUCAAAUAGCUUUGGUACUGACGGUAUGUUUAACACAUCUUUACAAGAUGAGUGAUGAUUGUUGCAACGCUUCUUUGGAUUGUUCAAUCUUUUGUAAUUAAAUUCUGUUUGGGAUGAUGCAUUUUUUGUUCCAAUUGUCACUGAGUUGGGGAGAAAUAAAUUUCGCAAGGGGGAAAGAUCGCGACGGAUGUGGACUCCUAAGGAGGAGGACAUACUAGCCCCGACACUACUAGAAUUCACUGCAACAGGCUGGAAAUCAGACAACGGAUUCAGGGCGGGUUACCUAAGUAAGAUAGAGGAUAGUCUCCAUACAGAAUUCCCCAAUACGGACUUGAAGGGCACACCGCACAUAAACUCAAAAAUCUCAGCAUGGAAGAAGAGUUAUACCAGUCUACGAUUGAUUUUGGGUCGAAGUGGGGUAUGGUUCAACAAUCACGGUUAUUACCAGAUUGAUUGCAAUGGCGACCAAUGGGACCAGAUAGUACAUGUAUGAUUCAGUUGCUAUUCUUCACGUCGUCAAUUUUACUAACCAAUUCGACAACAACGUAGGCAUACAAAGAUGCCAAAUUUAUGCGAAACAAGUCGUGGCCAUUAUGGAAGACAUGGAAGUCUAUAUUUGGCAAAGAUCGCACAUCUGGGGAGGUGUUGAGCAGUUACAAACAGUUGUAGUUCGUUUGCGUGCACAGGUAUCCGGAUGCAGUCAAGUUAACAAAAAUGACUACCACCCAUCCUUUGAAGAUUUCAUCCCAGAACCAUACACACCGGUGGCAGACACCAAUGAAGCAAACGAGAAUAGCUCUGGCACUACAGGGUAAGCAGACGUCUACUACCAAAACUUCUGAAGGUAAGGGAAAAAAGAGGUCCCGCGACUCUGAGCUUAUGAAUUUCCUUGGCAACCUCCACGCUGAAACAAACUCCCGUCUUGAGAUGAUUUCGACCCGCAUUGGAUAUGAGUUUGACAUGGGUAAAGCAUGGCAGGAAAUCAUUGACAAGCUCCACUGUUGAGGGACUUACCUUGGCUCAACGUUAUAAGUUGUGCAAUAUUUUAGGUGACAAGCAUCAGCGUCUUGAAGUUUUUAUUGGCAUGCUACCCAAUGCUCGUCUCGGUUAUCUUUUGUGCCUUAAUGAUGACGAACAAAAGGUUGGGUGCCUGAAUCACAUACUUUUAUUUUGGCUUUGAAACGCUACCACUGUUUUAUAUAUAUUCAUAGUGGAGUGUGAUUUUCACAGGCACACUGCUGGUAUUUUUGGGUAUGUAUUAACCUUAAUUUCAGUGUUAGUGCACGGACAACUUAGUUUUUGUGUAUGUAUUAACCUUAUUUCCAGUGCUAGUGCCUGGAUAACUUAGUUUUUGUGUAUGUAUCCACUUUUUAUUUCCAGUGCUACUGCACUGAUAACUUAAUGUGUGUGGAUCAGACUAUGAACCUCGAUCUUGUUUUUUUUUGUA